GCCAGUGUGGUGUAGUGGUUUGAGUGCUGAACUAGGAUUCCAGAAGAUCAGAGUUCAAAUUUCUGCUCAUCCA